CAUAAUCAAAUACGCGAUAUUAGAAUGAAGAACAGCUUUUCCGGUAUUAAUUCAUUUCUCUAGCGCUCAAACGAAACAAAUUUCGAAUCUAAAUGGUUGAUAAACAUAUUAUCUCAUAAAAUCAGAAAUAGUUACACAACAGUAAACAGUACAAUAUCAAUUUUUGAAGCGUGUGUGAGAAGGAAUCGGCUGCGAAGUCUGUUGAAACAGAAAUGCUGAAUUUACGCUUUACGAUGACGACACGAAUGAACCGACGACACGACCAGGCACUCCGAAGAAAACUCGAAAUAAAAAGUGUCUGCAACACUGUUCUGGUUGCUAUGCGUUAUUUGUCAAGGAACCGCAAUUAUAGGAAUAAACAAACAAACUGGAAAACUAUCCCGUUCCAUUGCCACGAAAAUGCAAGAAAAAAAAGGAUUAAUUUCGGAAUACAGGGAGCUAUUCUCUUGUGUGCAGCCACAUAUUUCCAAAUCUGUUGCAAUAAAAUGGACACAAGUCGAAACUGAAUUUAUUAUAAUAAUAAUCAAGUAAAAUUACCUUUUUGUAAAACUCGAAAAAAAAAGUGGAGCAGGAUGUUUAUUUCGUUUAUUAUGCAUUCAAUUAAGACCAAAAACAUUAUUUCGUAACACUAGAAGAACCCUUACAGAAGUUAAAAUCAAUGGGAAAAGAACGAUAAUGAAAUUGCUGCGUUCUGUGAUGUCGAUUUGAAACACCAGUAUUAAAUUUAAGCUAUUUUCAAAGAUCCUUCAUGCAUUGAGUCAGCAACAAUAAAAUGCAUUUAUUUAUGUUAUUUCUCUGCUAAAUCAUGCUAAAAAGCUUGAUUGUUUUCCAUGAAGAUCUUUAUUGGAGAUGCGUUUCAAGUCUUUUCAAGAGAAUUUUCCAAGAAUUAUCCAGAUGUCAUACUAAAACUAUUCUACGGUUACCAGAAGUCAUAAAACAAAAGUUUGUCUCAAUGGCGCGAAAAAAUAGUAAUGCUGAUGAUACGAUCUUAGAAGAAAUUCUUAGUCGCACAAUUUGAAGAUUUUAUGAAAACUAUGCUAAAGUUUCAAUUCAUGUUUGAUUUUUUCUAAUGGUGUCAUCAGCAUCUCGAUGUAGUUGAUUGGUAACUGCUUUGGUAUCAAAUUUCCGGUGCAUACAAUUACUGGUGGUACAAAUAAAAUAAUAUAACAUAUCGGUAUCGCAAAAACAUAGCGCUUCACUUAACUUUUAAGGGCCGAUUCUUUUUUUAGGCACAGUAGUAAAAUGCGCGACUGGUAUAUAAUGAUUCGGAGUUAGUUUUGUUUAUCUACAUAA